CAAGUUCAGCUGGUCCCGUCCGGCCCAGGAGCGGCGAAGCCCCGAGUGACCCUCACCCUGACCUGCGCCGUCUCUGGAGAUUGCAGUGGAAACAUUUCUAGUGGCUGUUGCUACUGGAACUGGAUCCGGCAGUGUCCCAGGAAAGGGCUGGAAAGGAUGGGAUAUAUAAUUAUUGUUUAUGGAGGCACAAGCUAUGCCACAUCCCUUCAAAGCAGGAUCACCAUCAUGGUAGAUUCCUCCAAGAACCAAGUCUCCCUGCAGCUCCGCUCCCUGACAGCUGCAGACACCGCCACGUAUUACUGUGCCAGAGAGAUAGCGACACAGAGCAAAGCAGGGAGCUGA